GGCUGCCACUUACCCAGUGCCACACGCCUCAGGAGACCUGUGGUCCAGGUGGCAUUGUCCCAUUUUCCGGAUGGGACCAAGAGAAAGGGCCAUUUAUUUUCAAGCAUCCGUUCGAUCCCUGCCGAGGGAUGAAAACUGCAGUGUCAACCGCCUUCUACCCCACCCCUUCGGAGGCCCUUUCGGUAUUAACAUCAAAGCGUUCUGCAUAUUUAUCAUUCCUCCCUCGGCAUUGAGCAAAGCUAUCUGAUGGACACACAAAAGCUCCAUAGUUUCCACUUGGACUCUAAAAAGGCAUCAGCAAGUUCAAACCCAAGUUGAAAAUUCCCUCAAAUAGGUAUAUUUUCUUUACUGGGAACCUGGGAAGGAUUAUCACUUAGCAUCCUCUCCAGAAUCAAUUUGCGUCCACUUACCAGUCGCUUCUGGUAUAAAAUAAAGAAGCUUAUGAUUCUUCA